UACGAAGGGGGCUAGCGUUGCUCGGAAUCACUGGGCGUAAAGGGUGCGUAGGCGGGUCUUUAAGUCAGGGGUGAAAUCCUGGAGCUCAACUCCAGAACUGCCUUUGAUACUGAGGAUCUUGAGUUCGGGAGAGGUGAGUGGAACUGCGAGUGUAAGAGGUGAAAUUCGUAGAUAUUCGCAAGAACACCAGUGGCGAAGGCGGCUUACUGGUCCGGUUCUGACGCUGAGGCGCGAAAGCGUGGGGAGCAAACAGG
rnacentral:rRNA from 1 species